rnacentral:rRNA from 1 species
UACGGAGGAUGCGAGCGUUAUCCGGAUUUAUUGGGUUUAAAGGGUGCGUAGGCGGACGCUUAAGUCAGCGGUAAAAUUGCGGGGCUCAACCUCGUCGAGCCGUUGAAACUGGGUGCCUUGAGUGGGCGAGAAGUACGCGGAAUGCGUGGUGUAGCGGUGAAAUGCAUAGAUAUCACGCAGAACCCCGAUUGCGAAGGCAGCAUACCGGUGCACAACUGACGCUCAGGCACGAAAGCGUGGGUAUCGAACAGG